AUGGCUAGAUUAUACAUAGACCCGGCAAUAUUGCAUACGACCCGUUAACAUGACACGAAUUCACAUCAAAUUAUCAGUAUUUGGGUUGAACUUAAUGGGUCGGGUUGAAAAUGCGUGAACCCGUUAAACUAACGGGUCGUGUCGGGUCAAUUCGUGCAUAUUCGCAUCCACUGGUUAAAGAGGGUAAUUAUGUAAUUUUAAAAAAAUAUCUCAUAUCCCCAACAUCAUGCCUUUUUUAAAAAAAAAAAAAAAUUCUUUCUUCUUUUCCUUCUCUCUCUCUCUCUCUCUCUCUCUCUCUCUCUCUCUCUCUUUUUAAUAUUAUUUUUCCUUCAUUCCACUUCCUCUCUUCGUCGACUUUCUCAUCUCCCCCUCUCUUUUUUUCUCUUCUCUACAUCUCUCAAUCUCUCACUUUCUUCCUUUUCUUCUCCCCUUUCGGAAAUUGUCCAUCUCUCCCUUCCAUUUUUUUUUCUUCUUCUUCUUCUUAUUCUCUCCAUCUCUUUCUUUUCUCUCCUUUUUUU
rnacentral:lncRNA from 1 species